AUCAACUUUCGAUGGUAGGAUAGAGGCCUACCAUGGUUUUAACGGGUAACGGGGAAUUAGGGUUCGAUUCCGGAGAGGGAGCCUGAGAAACGGCUACCACAUCCAAGGAAGGCAGCAGGCGCGCAAAUUACCCGAUCCCGACACGGGGAGGUAGUGACAAUAAAUAACAAUACGGGGCUCAUUUGGGUCUCGUAAUUGGAAUGAGUACAAUUUAAAUCCCUUAACGAGGAACAAUUGGAGGGCAAGUCUGGUGCCAGCAGCCGCGGUAAUUCCAGCUCCAAUAGCGUAUAUUAAAGUUGUUGCAGUUAAAAAGCUCGUAGUUGAACUUCGGGGUUUACCCAUUGGUCAGGCUUAAUUGUCUGCACUGGUGAGAUAAAUCUCUACCUUCUGAGGAACUUUCAUGCCAUUUAUUUGGUGUGAUGGGAAAUCAGGACUGUUACUUUGAAAAAAUUAGAGUGUUUAAAGCAGGCUAACGUCUGAAUACAUUAGCAUGGAAUAAUGAAAUAGGACGGACUGAUUCUAUUUCGUUGGUUUCUAGGAUCACCGUAAUGAUUAAUAGGGAUAGUUGGGGGCAUUAGUAUUCAAUUGUCAGAGGUGAAAUUCUUGGAUUUAUUGAAGACUAACUACUGCGAAAGCAUUUGGCAAGGAUGUUUUCAUUAAUCCAAGAACGAAAGUUAGGGGGAUCGAAGACGAUCAGAUAACCGUCGUAGUCUUAACCCAUAAACUAUGCCGACUAGGGAUCGGACGAAAGUUAAUUUUUA
rnacentral:rRNA from 1 species